rnacentral:rRNA from 1 species
UACGUAGGGUGCGAGCGUUGUCCGGAAUUAUUGGGCGUAAAGAGCUCGUAGGCGGUCUGUCGCGUCGGUCGUGAAAACUUGGGGCUUAACCCUGAGCUGCUGGUCGGAUACGGCAUGACUGGAGUUCGGUAGGGGAGACUGGAAUUCCUGGUGUAGCGGUGAAAUGCGCAGAUAUCGGGAGGAACACCGGUGGCGAAGGCGGUUCUCUGGGCCUUACCUGACGCUGAGGAGCGAAAGCGUGGGGAGCGAACAGG